rnacentral:rRNA from 1 species
GGCUCAGAAUCAACGCUGGCGGCGCGCUUAACACAUGCAAGUCGAACGAGAAAGCGGGGGCAACCUCGUAAGUAAAGUGGCGUACGGGUGAGUAACACGUGGGUAAUCUACCUCUUAGUGGGGAAUAACGCUGGGAAACCGGCGCUAAUACCGCAUAAUCCCGGGAGGGGAAAGCAGCAAUGCGCUGAGAGAGGAGCCCGCGGCCGAUUAGCUUGUUGGUGAGGUAAAGGCUCACCAAGGCAAAGAUCGGUAGCCGGCCUGAGAGGGCACACGGCCACACUGGCACUGAAACACGGGCCAGACUCCUACGGGAGGCAGCAGUGGGGAAUCUUGCACAAUGGGGGAAACCCUGAUGCAGCGACGCCGCGUGAGCGAUGAAGCCCUUCGGGGUGUAAAGCUCUUUCGGCAGGGACGAAACAUGACGGUACCUGCAGAAGCAGCUGCGGCUAACUACGUGCCAGCAGCCGCGGUAAUACGUAGGCAGCGAGCGUUGUUCGGAGUUACUGGGCGUAAAGGGUGCGUAGGCGGUCCCUUAAGUUUGGUGUGAAAUCUCCCGGCUCAACUGGGAGGGUGCGCCGGAUACUGAGGGGCUAGAGUGCGGGAGAGGAAAGUGGAAUUCCUGGUGUAGCGGUGAAAUGCGUAGAUAUCAGGAGGAACACCGGUGGUGUAAACGGCUUUCUGGACCGUAACUGACGCUGAGGCACGAAAGCGUGGGGAGCAAACAGGAUUAGAUACCCUGGUAGUCCACGCCCUAAACGAUGCACGUUUGGUGUGGGUGAUUCAGUUCAUCCGUGCCGGAGCUAACGCGUUAAACGUGCCGCCUGGGGAGUACAGUCGCAAGGCUGAAAC